GACGAACGCUGGCGGCGUGCCUAAACACAUGCAAGUCGAACGGAGAUGUUAAGGAAGUUUUACUGAAUUAAUGUCUUAGUGGCGGACGGGUGAGUAACGCGUGGGUGACCUACCCGAUAAGAGGGGGAUAACAGUUGGAAACGACUGCUAAUACCGCAUAAGCUGAGUAAUCAGUAAAGGAGGCCUCUGAAAAUGCUUCCGCUUAUGGAUGGGCCCGCGUCUGAUUUAGCUGGUUGGUGGGGUAAAGGCCUACCAAGGCGACGAUCAGUAGCCGGCCUGAGAGGGUGAACGGCCACACUGGGACUGAGACACGGCCCAGACUCCUACGGGAGGCAGCAGUGGGGAAUAUUGCGCAAUGGGGGAAACCCUGACGCAGCGACGCCGCGUGAGCGAAGAAGGCCUUAGGGUCGUAAAGCUCUGUUUUAAGGGACGAAUGUCGCGGGUAAUAAUACGAUCUGCGAAUGACGGUACCUUAAGAGGAAGCCCCGGCUAACUACGUGCCCAGCCAGCCGCGGUAAACAUAACUCGUA
rnacentral:rRNA from 1 species